rnacentral:lncRNA from 1 species
UGGAGCAGUUGUGUAGACUACUCUUAUUACCAGAGGAAGUACACUGAGUAGCACCAUGUGUUUUGAUGAUAUAGGAUGUGUUGGGUCUUGUAAGAUCAAUGUACGCGUUGAUCAGCAUUGAAGAAGAUCCGUCGUUCUUGAGAUACGGUUACCUCUCAAGGGACAACGUUGGAGAUGUGAGGAGAGAGGUUUCUAAGCUCUGCGGAGAGCUUAGACCUCACGCGCUUGCACUGGUCAGUUCAUUCGGGAUUCCAGACGCGUUCUUGGGACCCAUUGCGUUCAACUGGGUCGAAGCCAACGCUUGGUCUUCAGUUUAGUUUCUACGUAUAACCUCUUCCGAAUAAUCCACGUCUGUGUUCUUUAAUAUUUUUUUUUCUGAAAACUGUUGUUUUAUGCUCUUGGUAAUAAAUAAUAAAACGGGGUAAUGUAAAAUGUACCCACGGUUUAGUCUUUUACCCAAACUGGUCCAGAUCAGGGCCGGAUCUGAGAUCUUGGGGAUCUAAACAUUCUUUCAAAAAAAUUUAUAAAUUUUUUCUUUUCGUAAUUUGGAGGCUUUGUUCCUGUGUAAAAAACUUAAAAAAAUUUAGAAGCCAAAGUCAAUGUUUCACCUGCUGUGCUCAGAUAACUUUCGUUUAUUUUGGCAUUGUUUGACGCUUCUAAGCUUAUAUUUAUUUUGAUUUUGGCUUAGGAAAAAAUGAGUUUUUCUCUUUUUAGUGCAUGCAUGAUAGGUAUAGUUCUGAGUCGGAUGAAGCGAGAAAAUUGUUCUCGGACGCAAACUCUGCAGACCAGCGCACCUCCAUGUGAUUUCUGAUCCAAAUCCUCUGCUCACCUUGAACCAAAAAGUACACUUUACAGCCAUUCUCAUGUCAAAUACUACUUGUUACGACGUCACUUUGAUGAAAUGUUUUAUUAAUUGUGCUCACAUGGCAAGACAGGAGGAGGAGAUCUUAAUCAAAUGUGGUCACAUAGGAUUCUUUUGUAAUUGUUUGUUUCCAAUGGGCUGUUGCGUUCCACCCAGAAAUCAACAUGUUAAACAUGGGACAUGACUGAAUCAAAAAGUACACUUUACAGCCAUUCUCAUGUCAAAUGCCUACUUGUUACGACGUCACUCACUUUUGAUGAAAUGUUUUAUUAAUUGUGCUCACAUGGCAAGACAGAAGGAGGAGAGACUCUUCUUUAUCAAAUGUGUUCACAUAGGAUUCUUUUGUAAUUGUUUGUUUCCAAUAGGUUGUUGCGUUCCACCCAGAAACCAACAUGUUAAACAUGGGACAUGACUGAAUCAGAUCCUUGUAACAACUCUGUCAUGUUUUCACCUAUAGUGAAUUAAUAUUGUGUUAAAAAAAUAUUGGGACAUGAAUCACAUGAUCUUAUUUAGUUAACUAAAAUAUAAUAAAUACAGUGAUUAACUUGAGACUUGUGGAAGAGUGUAGACUAAAUCUCCAAGAGAAAAUGCAUUUCACUGAUGAACCUAUUUAUAGGUAUUCAAAUGAAGCCAAAGUAUGAUCUAACCGCAUGGUGCAAGGAAUCAAAACAAGAGUUGAGUUUUCAUUAUUUAGAAGUCUAACACUCAGAUAAUUCUCUCUCCCUCUCUCUUUCUUGGGAACUCCCCUAGAUAUGUCGGAAAAUCACGCACUCUGGCGAGCUCAUGUUUUAGCUAAUCACAUACUCCAGUCACCUCCUCCACCUUUGAACAUCUUCCUCACGCGGGAGGUAUGCUUGCAGUACACUCCACCGGAGGUCAACGAGAGCUAUGGAUUCGAUGUGAAGGAGAUGAGGAAGCUGCUCGACAGACACAACUUGGAGGACCGAGACUGGCUUUACGGGAUCAUCAUACAGAGCAAUCUGUUCAACAGGAAGAUAAGAGGAGGAGGCAAGGUGUUCGUGUCUCCAGAUUACAAUGAGACGAUGGAGCAGCAGCGCGAGAUCAGUAUGAAGCGGAUCAUGUACUUGCUGGAGAAAGGUGUAUUUCAAGGAUGGUUAACGGAGACAAGUCCUGAGGCUGAGCUGAAGAAGUUUGCUCUCUACGAGGUUUGCGGGAUGUAUGAUUACUCCCUCUCCGCCAAACUCGGUGUUCAGUUCUUGUUGUGGUAUGUUAAAACAAAACAUAGUUAACAUGUCUUAUAUUCGUUCUUGAUUUUUCUAAAUAAUUCUUUUUCGAUGUUUGUCCUAAUCAGGGGUAAUGCUGUUAAGUUAUUUGGUACAAAGCGCCACCAUGACAAGUGGCUGAAAGACACUGAAGAUUAUCUUGUCAAGGGCUGCUUUGCAAUGACUGAGUUGGGCCAUGGAAGUAAUGUAAGAGAACCAUAUAUAUUCUAGUGUCAUUUUGCACAUGUAACAACUAUAUAACUUGGUAUCUUUUGAUUCAAUGCUUUCAGGUGAGGGGGAUUGAAACAGUGACUACUUAUGAUCCAAUGACAGAGGAGUUUGUAAUAAACACUCCUUGUGAAUCUGCUCAAAAGUAUUGGAUUGGUGAGGCAGCUAACGUAAGUAGUUUUUUUUCUGCUAAAAUUUGUUUUCUUUCCUCCCAUAUACUGAUUUUUUAUUAUGCUUUUGGAUGUGCAGCAUGCAACCCAUGCAAUUGUGAUUUCACAGCUUGAAAUAAACGGAACCAACCAGGGAAUUCAUGUCUUCAUCGCUCAAAUCAGAGAUCAAGAUGGCAACAUAUGUCCAAACAUCCGCAUUGCUGACUGUGGCCACAAGAUUGGUAUAAAUGGUGUUGACAUUGGCCGUAUAUGGUAUUAUUACACACAACUUGAGGUUAUAUAUAAUUGUAGGCUUGUAUCAUUCAUCAAAGAUUGAAAUAUUCAUUAUAGGUUUGACAAUCUUCGAAUCCCAAGAGAAAAUUUACUGAACUCAGUUGCUCAUGUUUCAUCUGAUGGAAAUUACGUUAGCGCUAUUAAAAAUCCUGAUCAGGUAACUGCUCAAACCAGUUUCAGGAUAAGACUUUAUAUUAGUUGUGUGGAGUUGCAAUGACGAUGUUUUCGAUUUUUAUUUCAGAGAUUUGGAGCUUUCUUGGCCCCUUUGACCUCUGGUCGUGUCACCAUUGCUGCAACCGCCAUUUACUCUGCAAAGGUACAGAUUUCAGUAUGAGAUAUCAACUUGACUAUCUCAGGACUAGAUGUUACUUAAUACCCCUUCUUAAUAUGGCAGAUCGGAUUAGCUGUUGCUAUAAGGUACUCACUAACGAGAAGAGCCUUCUCUGAUGUAGCCAAUGGCCCUGAAGUACUCCUUCUUGAUUAUCCAAGCCACCAAAGACGACUUUUACCACUCCUAGCCAAGACGUAAGGAUCUUUAUGACUACUAUGUUAUCCCUUCUUGGAAGUGUACGCACGGAGAUUUUGGGGUUAUAAACAAUUUAAUAAGGGUUUCAGUAAUUUUAAGGCCAAUGCUUAACUGGCCUAUGCCCAGGACCGGUCCUGCCUCUUGGAAGACUAUUAUUUCUAACUGAAUCUUAUGUACCGUAGAUAUGCUAUGAGCUUUGCUGCAAAUGACUUGAAGAUGAUUUACGUGAAGAGGACACCUGAGAUCAACAAAGAGAUUCAUGUUAUCUCAAGUGGACUCAAAGCUGUUCUCACCUGGCACAAUAUGCGAACGCUUCAGGUGUCUUAGCUUAACUUUAAUGUGAGAAAGCUCCUAGGGGGAUACUGAUGUUAUAUUUUUUUUGCUUGGUUCUUUUCAAGGAAUGUCGUGAAGCUUGUGGAGGGCAAGGUGUGAAAACAGAGAAUCGGGUUGGUCAUUUAAAAGGCGACUAUGAUGGGCAGACUACAUUUGAGGGUGACAAUAAUGUUCUGAUGCAGCAGGUAAGCUAUGGACCAUUAUCAAUUUGUUUUGACUAUACAAUGUUACUUAUUGGUUCUUUUGUGGAGUUAAGGUGAGCAAGGCACUUUUUGCUGAGUAUAUAUCAUGUAAGAAGAGAAAUAAACCUUUCAAAGGAUUGGGAUUGGAGCACAUGAACAGUCCUCGUCCCGUGUUGCCUACUCAACUCACAUCUUCUGCCCUCAGAUGCAGCCACUUCCAGGUCAUAAUAACUCAUAUUACUCUUAAUCAGUUCUUUAGAUGAAUUCAACUUCUUGUUAACACAUCACAUGUAUUGUGCCUUCGCAGAAAAAUGCAUUCUCCAUAAGAGAGCGAGAUCUUCUAGAACGAUAUACUUCUGAAGUUGAAGAGAUUCAAGGGAAAGGAGAAAGCAGAGAGUUCUCCUUCCUCUUGGUUAGCAUUUCUUGUCAUAACCUUUGGUAGAGUUUCUCAUAUACUAAUGGUUCGCUAUGCUUGCAGAGUCAUCAACUUUAUGAAGAUCUAAGUAAAGCUUUCGCAGAGAAAGCAAUCUUACAAGCCGUUUUGGAUGCUGAAGCCAAACUACCAAUUGGUUCCACUAAGGUAAUCAUCACUGUUAGCCAGGACCCGUUUUGGUCACAGCCGAAUAAUGCACUCGACUUACAUUCCAAAUUAUAAGGAUCUAUUAUACAUAGAUCACAUAACCACCAAAUUAUCAAAAAAAACGAAAAAAACUAUAUUCAGAUUAGCUUAAAAGUAUUUAUAGAUCCCAUAAAUCUCAGAUUCGUCGUGCGGUUAGCUACUAAGCAUAGUCUUCACUGCGCCUAAGACCAUCUCCAAUGUAUAACUCUAUUUUUUCCUCUAAAAUGGAGUAAAAGUGAAAAUGGAAUAAAAUUGAUCCAAUCCUACUCUAUUUUCCACUCCAUAAUGGAGUGAUGAACAACCAAAAAAAAGAUUACUCCAUUUAUGAAGUAAAUUUCAUUAUGGAGUGAGAUAUGGAGUUGGAUUGGAGCAUUCCUUACUCCAUAUUCACUUUUACUCCAUUUUAGAAAAAAAAAUGGAGUAUGGAUGGAGAUGCCCUAACACAGCAUUUUAUAAAAAAGAAUGUGAGAGUAAAGAACUGUUUCAUUACUCUAAGCAUAAUAGUUUACUAGAUUUUAAUCCGGACAUUCGUGCAGAUAUUUUUUCAUUUUAUAAUGUAUUUGAUAUUAUUACAAAUGUUUAAAUAUAUAAUUUCUAUUUAGUAAUAUAUAUGUGUAACUCUAUAAUUUUAUUGUUUAUAUUUUUUAUUCGACAUUAUUAAUAUAUAGUAAUUUGUUUAAUACAUUUUACUUUUUUAUUAAUAUUUAUUACUUACUAAUAUAGUUUCGAGUUAAAUAUAAUAAAAUAAAAAUAUGAAAUAAUCAAAUAGAUAACAUGCUUCAAAUAUAUAUUUUCUUUAAUUUAUACAUUUUGCUAUAAUACAUUUUUAAAAUUUUAUUUAUUUAUAUUAUAGAAAAGAAAUAUGUUUAGGAUAAUUUAUAUUUGCAUGUUGUGUUUAAAAAAUAUACUUUAUAUAUUAUUUUAGUAUUUUACGGGAGUUAUAAGUAAAAUAAUAUUUUGCUUAAAUAAUAUAGCCUUAUUAUUUUAGUAAUUUUUAUACAUAGUAGCAUCUAUCAUAUUAUUUUAGUAAAUUUUAUUUAUAUAGGAUAUUUUUUAGGGAAAAUUUGGAAAAAUACAUUCAAAUGAAAUUAUAUUUUGAGGAAUACACCGCUUAUUAUUAUUUUUGAAAACUACACUUAUUUAUAACUGAAAUGACUAAAAUAACCUAAUUAAUAUUUAUAAUAAUUUUAGUCUCAAAUUGAAAUUUAUAUUUAAAAUCAAGUAUCUCAGCGUUUUAAAUUUAAUACAAAACUUUGUCUCAUCCCAAUCAAUAAAAGCCUAGGGUUUCCUUUUUUUUUUGCAUCUAUCUACUCCGAUUGAUUCACAGUGAAUUUAAUUAUCUAUCUUGUUACCCCCGUCAAAUUUCCAUGGACGCUUUUUUUAAAUCAAAAUAUCCAUGGUCGCUAUGUUUAGUAUUCCCAAGAUCGGAUGGUUUGAUUAGGUGUAGCCUUUUUCUUAGGUGUAAGCCAUAAACUUAUCUUCUUCUUUUUUUUGUUUGAAUGAGAACCUAUAUUUUUACUGACCUUUGCCAGGCAGCUGGUAAAGUGAAUCAAUAAUAUGGAACCAGAGCAUAUUCUUACCCAUAUGUAGGAGACUCUAAAAGUGUAUCCACAUAUUUUGGAGAGUCAAAACUGAUACAAAUAUGAUUAAGCAAUAUUCCUAUUCCGGAUAUGAAAAAGAUGAGUUAAUGGCUUCUACAUGUGGCAACCUGGACUUAACCAUCUGACUCACCUUUUAUGUCAGUAACAUUUGAGUUAGAAGACCUAUUUUUCAACCCUCUAUUUUGCCCGAUUCUCAGUUUUUGAUGACUCAAUCGUAACCUUUUGUUUCACAUGAAUAUUCUGUAGUUGAAAUUGUUGUGUGUCAUAGUCCGAAGUCAUUUUAGCUGACAGGAACGGAGGUCACCGGUAUAUAUAUACUUUUCGUGGAUCUUCAUCUGAUAAAUUAGAAGCUCCAAACAAACAAAUACAAUAAAUACAUUGUUAAAUACUCCCCAUACUUAAAAGUUAUGUAUGUAUUUUGAUUAUUUAUUAAUUAGAUGUGUUAUAUAUUUAAGGAUUAAAUGUUUCAUCUCUAAUAAAUUAAUAAAUUUAUUUGUGAUUUAAAAUUAUAUUUUUAUUUAUUAAAACAUGGGCAAAAAAGUCUUAUUACAUAUGAAUAAGUGUAGUUAAAAAAAAAAAUAAAGGCAGUAUAUUUCUCAAAUUUCAAAUCCUAAAUAGGACAUUUUGCAAAUUAUCCCUAUUUUUUAUCAUAUUAUGUUUCAUUUUUAUUUUUAGUUAAGAUCUCAAAAUAUUAGAUUGCUUUUAAUUUUUACAACAUAUAUAGUUUGUUUUUUCGUGGUGCAUUUAAAAAAAGUUAUUUUUUAUUAUCUAUGAUUUUAUCUUUUGUAAAAUUUGAAUAUUAUCAUGAGUUAAUUUGAAUACUUAUUUACAAAAUUUUAUAUUUUGUCAAGAAAACUUUAAAAAAUUACACUACUAUUUUUGAAUUUGAAAGAUUACAUGAAUUUUGAAUUUUUUUGUUACUACAUUAAUAAAUUAAUUUAUUACAUAUUUGAAUUUUGAUAAUAUUUUAUAAAUUUUUCUCAACAGAUUUUUUGUUAUAAUUGAAAUUAAAAAUCAUUAUAACUAAAAUUUUAUUUGACAUUAAUAUUUUAAAUGAAUUACUAAAAUUCCAUAGUUAUUAUAUACUAUUAUAGUUUUACAUAAAAAAUUUAAACAAUAUAAUGUUCAGAGUUUCAAAAUAAAUAAAAAGAUAAUAUAUAGUUGUAGAUAUAAAAGUUUAACCUAUGUUAAUAAGUUUAUUUUUGUAUAAAAAUAUUAUAUAGUUUAUGAUAUUUAACUCAUUUUAAUGAUGAGUGAUAAUUUAUUUAAAUGAAACAAUUUUUUAAAAAAUUUUUUUUUGUUAAUUUACCUAUAUUUAAUAUAAUUUUUUCAUAUUUAAUUCAUAUAGCAAUUUUAUUUUUAUAUAAUACAGAAUAUAAUUAUAGAAUUUGUAAAAAACAGUAUAAUGUUUUUAUUUUCUUGUUUUAUAAUAAAUUUUAGUUAACAUUGAUUUAUAACAAUUUUAUAUUACUAAUUAAGAAAUUAAUUAAUAUGUAAUUUUAUAAAAAUAUUUAAACUUCUAAGUAAGAUUUUGUUAGAUUUUUUCUCAACAGAUUUUGUUAUAAUUAAAAAAUAAAAUUCAAAUUUAUAGUUGAUUUAUUAUUAAUUUAAAUAAUAAAAUAUGUCAUAUUAACUAAUUUUUUAAUUGAUGCUACUAUGAUUUGUUAAUGGUAAAUAAAAAUUAGGACCCUAAAUUAAUAGAUUAGAGCAGUUCCAUUGGUGAAUAUGUGCACAUGGGUUUCUAACUGAAUUUAAUUUAGUUAAAAAUUAAUUUUAAAUCACAAAUAAUGAUGUAGCUAAUCAUAAAGCAACAUAUAGGCCAAAGAUAUGUUGGUUUUUUUUGUUGAGGAUCUAAAACCAGAGUCAUUUCUUUGUCUCUCUCCUCCUUUUUCAACUUUUUCAUUGUUUUAAAUGUUAGAUACUUGUUUCAUUGCCCUAAUAGAUGGUCUUUUAGUUAUGACAUUUAUUGUAAACUAUAGAGUACGUGAACCAAACGAAAGUAACUAGCUCCAUUUAUUUGAUGAUAGGAUGUGUUGGGUAUUGUAAGAUCAAUGUACGCAUUGAUCUGCAUGGAAGAAGAUCCAUCGUUCUUGAGAUAUGGCUACCUCUCCAGGGACAAUGUUGGAGAUGUGAGGAGAGAAGUUUCUAAGCUCUGCGGAGAGCUUAGACCUCACGCGCUUGCACUGGUU